rnacentral:rRNA from 1 species
GACGAACGCUGGCGGCGUGCUUAACACAUGCAAGUCGAGCGGUAAGGCCCUUUCGGGGGUACACGAGCGGCGAACGGGUGAGUAACACGUGAGCAACCUGCCCCUCUCUUUGGAAUAAGCGUUGGAAACGACGUCUAAUGCCGAAUAUGACCCCCUGUCGCAUGGUGGGGGGUGGAAAGCUCUGGCGGAGAAGGAUGGGCUCGCGGCCUAUCAGCUUGUUGGUGUGGGUAAUGGCCCACCAAGGCGACGACGGGUAGCCGGCCUGAGAGGGUGACCGGCCACACUGGGACUGAGACACGGCCCAGACUCCUACGGGAGGCAGCAGUGGGGAAUAUUGGACAAUGGGCGAAAGCCUGAUCCAGCAACGCCGCGUGAGGGAUGACGGCCUUCGGGUUGUAAACCUCUUUCAGCAGGGACGAAGCGAGAGUGACGGUACCUGCAGAAGAAGGACCGGCCAACUACGUGCCAGCCGCCGCGGUAAUAC